AGGCUUCCUGGGUGCCUGUGUUCUCCUCGGCAGGUCAGGGGACGCUCGACCUGGCUGCAGGAGGUCACGCACACGCCCAGUGUAGACUUUGGAGGCUGAGCACGCACACGGACACGUUUCUGCCGCAUCGGUUUAUUGGCUCGAGUGGGAAGUGGGGUGUUAACCAAGCACCCGGAAAAAUCCUGUGUGCCUCUGCGGAACAGGGGAUGGAAGACAGUAACCUUUUCUAUUCUUUCCGAAGGAAGCUUAGGUGAUAAAAAGGUGAGGACUCCGACCCGCCUACAGAAUCACGACUCUGGUACGACCGGGCCUACAAUGUGCCAGACACCUCACAGGUGCUUUACCCCUUAUUAAAGCACCCAACCAGCCGG